UAAGUAGCGUAUUGGGUCAUUCCACGCCAAAUGUCCCAGCCAUUUCAGCGACCAUCUCAAAUGUAUUCGAAAAAAAUUGUGCUCAUUUAGUGCAUUGAAAAAAGUGAAUUGUCAGAAUAUUUUGGAAAGAAAAAAAUUUUUGGUCACAUGGGAGCCUUUCGAAUU
rnacentral:lncRNA from 1 species